UAUUUAUGUGUAAAAAAAAAAAAAAAAUUUAAAGCGAUAGUAUUAAAUUGCGUGCGCCGACUGUUCUCUUCGUGGUCGCUGUUGCCGAGCAAGUCUAGCGGCCGGAAAUAAGGCAAGCACACACCAAAGUCCCACGUUUUACCUCUCAAACGUAAUACCUCUCUCUGUACAUUUAACUAAGCUUACAUGCCACACACCCAAUAUGAAUUUCAUGCUGUUAUUUAUUUAUUUUUUUUAUAAUUAAGCUUGAAUGGCCGUUGCAAUUGUGGUUGUUAUUUUUGAAAAGAGAAUUUUAGAAAAUGCGAGAGGGUGUUUGUCUGUGUGUAUAAAUGCGGUUGAUGUUGAGGUUGAGGAUUGAAGUACCCGAGAGGAUGAUGGAAGCGAAAAACGUGAUGAUGAUGUUGAUGAUGAUGAUGAUGAUGAAGUAGUAAAAUAAUAAGAACAAGUAGAAGAAGAAGAAGACGAAGAAGAUAUAGACCGGGUUGUACGCGCAAGAGGGCAGUGAUCUCUCGGGCGGCGACCUGACACCAACAACCGAUAGCUAUAAGACAUAUAAAAUUUAUAUAUAUAUAUAAAAUAUAUAUGUACGUAUAUUAUUCACUACUCGCGACAGACAAAUACACAUAUACUUACAUCGAAAAAUCCACCAUGCUUUCUCAGAUCGAAUCGAAAUUCCAGGACGCUUCUUCUUCUUCUUAUAGUCUUCUUCUUAUUUAUUUUUUUUUUAUUCUUUACUUUGGCUUUUUAAACUUUAUCCUUUUUUUUUACUACUCUUCGCUAAUAUUAUUCUAUUUAUUUAAUUUAUUUAAUUCAUUUAAUUAUAUUAUAUUAAUUUCAAAACAACGAAAUAUGAUCUGCAAAUUCAUCACAAGAUUGACUUCUGGAAAUUCAAAUUCAGGUGACCUAUACUGCCUACAGGGGGUCUCCAGUUGAACCUGAAUUCACACCACCUGGUUUGAGCUCUUCUGUAUAAUGCCCCUCUUAAAUAUCAAGAGUAAUAAAAAAAUUAUGAUAAUAAUAUUUUCAAGGAAAGAGCGAGAAAGAUCGAGCAAGCGAGUGCCAGGAUAAUAAGAAAAAAAAAAUUGUACUUAGGUAUUAUUCUGCAAUUAAAUUACAAAAAAAAAAAAGAAAGAAAUAUGCAUAAAUAUAAAAUAUAUAUGGCAGCAGAAGAUAUGAGAAUGAAAGACAGGCCUUUGAUAUAUAGUCUAGUUGUCAAUCUGGGAUGAGACCAACUAAACUUUGUUGAAAAAAAAAUUUUCUUUUAAAAAUGUAGAAAAAAAAAAAGUAUAUUUUUAUAUAUAUUAAAAAAUAAACACAGGUUAUAGAAAUUAUAAAAUUUAUAAAUAAUAAUAAAUUUAAAAAAAAUAAAUAAUAAGUGUGAUGCUGCUUACUUGAUGACACUAACCCGUAGAUCCGAACUUGUGGGCUAUUUAAUAUGCAUACCGCAAGCUCCUAUCUACCGGUACAUGUAGUCAGGCCGUCGUUUGUGACUUUGCCGUCAUCCCAACAUGAUCGACUUGAAUUUCAUUUCAUUUAUUUAUUUUAUUUUUCUUAAUUAAUAUCAUUUUUUUUUUUUUUUUGUUGUUGUUUUUUAAUUUAUUUAUUAGUUAGCUAAAAAGAUCUUCAAGUUUAUACUUUUGCCAUUCAAAGCAGAGCACAGUCAAC
rnacentral:lncRNA from 1 species